CUUAGAAGCAGCCACCCUUUAAAGAAAGCGUAACAGCUCACUGGUUGAGUCGGCCUGCGCGGAAGAUUUACCGGGGCUAAGUCAUAUACCGAAGCUUUGGAUCCUAGUUUACUAGGAUGGUAGCGGAGCGUUCUGUAAGUUGAUGAAGGUGUAUCGUGAGGUAUGCUGGAGAUAUCAGAAGUGCGAAUGCUGACAUAAGUAACGAUAAUGUAGGUGAGAACCCUACACGCCGAAAACCCAAGGUUUUCUCCGCAACGUCAAUCGGCGGAGAGUUAGUCGGUACCUAAGGCGAGGCCGAAAGGCGUAGUCGAUGGAAAACAGGUUAAUAUUCCUGUACCGCUUUUAACUGCGAUGGAGAGACGGAGAAGGUUAGAUCAGCCAGUCAACGGUUAUACUGGUGUAAGUAUGUAGAAAUUAUUCUUAGGAAAAUCCGGGAAUAUCUAUUUCGAGAUACGAAUGCGAAGCUUUUUCUUCGGAAUUAGCGAAGUGGUCGAUACCAUGCUUCCAAGAAAAUCUUCUAAGCUUCAGGUUAUAACGAACCGUACCCCAAACCGACACAGGUGGUCAGGUAGAGAAUACUAAGGCGCUUGAGAGAACUCGGGUGAAGGAACUCGGCAAAAUGACACCGUAACUUCGGGAGAAGGUGUGCCUUUUGUAUGUGAAAGCCCUGCGGCUGGAGCAGAAGAAGGUUGCAAUAAAAUGGUGGCUGCGACUGUUUACUAAAAACACAGCACUCUGCAAACUCGUAAGAGGACGUAUAGGGUGUGACGCCUGCCCGGUGCUUGAAGGUUAAUUGAUGGGGUUAUCUUCGGAGAAGCUCUUGAUCGAAGCCCAAGUAAACGGCGGCCGUAACAAUAACGGUCCUAAGGUAGCG
rnacentral:rRNA from 11 species